AAGAACGACUCUCGGCAACGGAUAUCUCGGCUCUCGCAUCGAUGAAGAACGUAGCGAAAUGCGAUACUUGGUGUGAAUUGCAGAAUCCCGUGAACCAUCGAGUCUUUGAACGCAAGUUGCGCCCGACGCCAUCAGGUCGAGGGCAUGUCUGCCUGGGCGUCACACGC
rnacentral:rRNA from 1 species